CCUACGGGCGGCAGCAGUGAGGAAUAUUGGUCAAUGGCCGGAAGGCUGAACCAGCCAUGCCGCGUGCAGGUCAGUGCCCUAUGGGCGUUAAACUUCUUUUGUGCGGGAGCAAUAAUGGUCACGUGUGGCCAGACGAGAGUACCGUACGAAUAAGCAUCGGCUAACUCCGUGCCAGCAGCCGCGGGAAUACGGGGGAUGCAAGCGUUAUCCGGGUUUAUUGGGUUUAAAGGGUGCGUAGGCUGUGAGGUAAGUCAGCGUGGAAAUGCCCCCGCUCAACGGGGUGACGUGCCAUUGAUACUGCCUUGCUGGAAUGCGGAUGCCGUAGGAGGAAUGCGUGGUGUAGCGGUGAAAUGCAUAGAUAUCACACAGAACACCGAUUGCGAAGGCAUCUCACGAAUCCGCGAUUGACGCUGAUGCACGAAAGCGUGGGUAUCAAACAGGAUUAGAUACCCGGGUAGUC
rnacentral:rRNA from 1 species